AACACCCUGCACCGUCAUCCCCUCCUACCCUCGCAAUCCCCCCUCUCCCCUGUCUGUCUCCCUGCAUUUACGGGAAUUCAGCUGGCUUCUUUGGCGCUCGGCUCUUAGCUGCCAGGAAAGCUCAAACAUGCACAUGUUUGUCUCGGAAACUGACAAAAACGACAUAACCUACACACGAAUGAUAAUUUCAUGGAGGUUAGGUGAUUGUUCAGUGUUGAUUGGAAAACAAGUUUAAGAAAAAUGCAGUGUCAUUUCCACAUGUGGCACCAAAUGCAUGCACUGACUCAGGAGAGGAGGACGCCGUCUCUGAGUCAGAGGACGAGGGGCAGCUUCCACGAGUGCAUCUCUGCUGAGGUGAAGAGGAAACAAGAGAGCAGCAGCAGCGGCCUCGCCACAAACCCUGACGCUCCCCGAUGCAUCAUCAACCCGAAACCUCUUCACCUAUACGAAGCGCUUUAAUGACCGGUAUAAAUAUCCAGUCACUGUGCCGCCUUCCUGUUUCGUGGGCCACAUGCAUGCUGAGAGAGUCAUCGCAUACUUUUGGAGGAAUCCAGCAAUUUAUGAAGCGUGUUGCAGGGUUUUAUUAACUAAAGUCUGCAAACUUCAGCAAAAGAAGCAGGCUCAAAUAAAAAAAAGGCACAGUGGAUCAGUGUGGCUCAUUAAGGAGCCAAAAUCCUGCUGAUGUGGUCAGCCGCACUGGAGCGAGGCCUUGUUAUGCAACUAUUUUCUACAUUUCAGGCCACAGGAAAACUUGUACUGGUUGGUUGAAAACCACUCAAACAAGUGAGUAGCU